rnacentral:rRNA from 1 species
UGAAUGGGGCAACCCAAGGGC